rnacentral:rRNA from 1 species
GGCGGCGUGCUUACACAUGCAAGUCGAACGAGAACGGGUUAUAGCUUGCUAUAACUGUCAGCUAAGUGGCGCACGGGUGAGUAAUGUAUAGUUAACCUGCCCUCUAGAAAGGAAUAACAGUUGGAAACGACUGCUAAUGCCCUAUAUGCCUUUAAGACAUAAGUCUGCAAGGGAAACGCUUUAGUGCUAGAGGAUGGGACUGUAUGGUAUCAGCUAGUUGGUGAGGUAAAGGCUCACCAAGGCAAUGACGCCUAACUGGUUUGAGAGGAUGAUCAGUCACACUGGAACUGAGACACGGUCCAGACUCCUACGGGAGGCAGCAGUGGGGAAUAUUGCACAAUGGAGGAAACUCUGAUGCAGCAACGCCGCGUGGAGGAUGACACUUUUCGGAGCGUAAACUCCUUUUAUAUAGGAAGAUAAUGACGGUACUAUAUGAAUAAGCACCGGCUAACUCCGUGCCAGCAGCCGCGGUAAUACGGAGGGUGCAAGCGUUACUCGGAAUCACUGGGCGUAAAGAGCGUGUAGGCGGGUUAAUAAGUUUGAAGUGAAAUCCUAUGGCGUCACCAUAGAACUGCUUUGAAAACUGU